rnacentral:rRNA from 1 species
CCUACGGGGGGCAGCAGUGGGGAAUCUUGCGCAAUGGGCGAAAGCCUGACGCAGCGACGCCGCGUGAGGGAUGAAGGUCUUCGGAUCGUAAACCUCUGUCAGCAGGGAAGAACGGUCACUGUGCUAAUCAGCAGUGAAUUGACGGUACCUGCAAAGGAAGCACCGGCUAACUCCGUGCCAGCAGCCGCGGUAAUACGGAGGGUGCGAGCGUUAAUCGGAAUUACUGGGCGUAAAGCGAGCGUAGGCGGUAUGUCAAGUCAAGGGUGAAAUCCCCGCGCUCAACGUGGGAAGUGCCUUUGAAACUGGGGAACUUGAGUGCGUGAGGGGAUAGUGGAAUUCCAGGUGUAGCGGUGAAAUGCGUAGAUAUCUGGAGGAACAUCAGUGGCGAAGGCGACUCUCUGGCACAUAACUGACGCUGAGGAGCGAAAGCGUGGGUAGCAAACAGGAUUAGAUACUCGAGUAGUC